GUGCCAGCAGCCGCGGUAAUACGGAGGGUGCGAGCGUUAAUCGGAAUAACUGGGCGUAAAGGGCACGCAGGCGGUGACUUAAGUGAGGUGUGAAAGCCCCGGGCUUAACCUGGGAAUUGCAUUUCAUACUGGGUCGCUAGAGUACUUUAGGGAGGGGUAGAAUUCCACGUGUAGCGGUGAAAUGCGUAGAGAUGUGGAGGAAUACCGGAGGCGAAGGCAGCCCCUUGGGAAUGUACUGACGCUCAUGUGCGAAAGCGUGGGGAGCAAACAGGAUUAGAUACCCUGGUAGUCCACGCUGUAAACGAUGUCGAUUUGGGGGUUGAACUUUAAGUUUGGCGCCCGUAGCUAACGUGAUAAAUCGACCGCCUGGGGAGUACGGCCGCAAGGUUAAAACUCAAAGGAAUUGACGG
rnacentral:rRNA from 1 species